GUUCCAUUUUCUCCUUCCACAGCUACGAGCAUCACUAACCACUAUACCAGAGAAAGGAGCUUGGUUCCUUUCACUACAUUAGGAGUGGGUGGGGCAAGGAAAAGAUAGAGGCCUGAAUUCACAUCUAAGCAGGUGAUAUUAACAAGGUGUCUCAGGUCUGGACCCUCCAGGUGAAGAGUAGCAGAACCACCCAGGGCUCCAGUUAUAUUUAUCACAUCAUUGUGCACUGGAAGCUGACCUGAAAAACCUGGGGCACAGCUGGGGAACCAUUGAAAGACUUGCCAGAAACAGACAGGAGUGGAGGAGCUUCAUCACUGCCCUAAACGCCAGAGGCGUAAUAGGAAUAUAAUGAUGAUGAUGGUGGUGGUCAAAAUGAGAAAAUACACUGAAAUCCUCUUAUACUGAGGUCAUUUCUUUUGCAAUGAACAACACGCCUAUAAGCUAAGGCUACAUACAGAAAUCAACAGAUUGAAACACUCUGAGCAAGUACUUCUACUUCAUCCUAAAACAUGCUUCAGUAUUGCCCCAAUUCUGCAACCACUGAACACAAUGGCAAAACUCCCCUUGAUUUAAUUUGGAACAGAAUCACAUGUCUUAUUUGAAUUUAGUAUAAACACAUUCCACUCUUAAAGAAAGAAAGAAAGAAAGAAAGAAAGAAAGAAAGAAAGAAAGAAAGAAAGAAAGAAAAAUGGCUUACCCUGGAGAAUAAUAAGUGCAAACAACGUAGACUGGAAGGUAAAACUAGAUGACAUUUCAGAAAUGAUUUUUGUUCUAGUAUUUCACAUACACUGUACUUUUUUGAGGAAACCUCUACAUUCCACUAACUUAAAUCCAUACUGAGUGGUGCGUCUUGAAGACUGUGAACAUGCAGAAAUGCUUAAAGGCUGUUUCUAUGUUUCAAUUACUUCCUUACUGACUCAGAACUAGAGUUCUCACAAAGGGACAGUGGAUAUUUUGGAAGGGAAACAUUGUGGCUUCAACCACUGUGUCAGACAAGCGUGAGGUAAGAACUCAUGAAUAUACUUCUGUGUUUUCCAAGCGGCUGCUGCAGCAGGUGGAGGUCAGCCCGGCAUAAGACAUUUCACAGCAAAAUAAAGCUGGGGAAAUAAGGCUUUUCUCGUCCCUAUAGUGUGAGCACACACCAGAACGAAGAUAGAGCUGAAGUAAGGCUGUGCAUGCAUGUUUGUGUUGUUAUUAUUAGUAUUGUUUAUAUUUUCAUAGUUCCUAGGAGCCUCAGUCACGGACCAGGAUCCUACUGAAUAGGUAUUGUCUGAACAAAGAAUUAAAUGACAGUCUCUGCCCCAAAGAGUUUACAAUCUAAAGUAUAAGAAAACAGAUGGUUACAAACACACAGGGAAGUACAAGGAAAGCAUGAGAUAAUAUUGGUCAAGCAUGACAGGCAGUCAUAAACUACUAAAAGAGAGUCUUCUUUAGUUCAAGUGGUAGAGGCUUAUUGGUUUUAGAAACAAAGGUCCUGGGUGUGUCUACAAUGAAGGAACUGUACUGUGGCUAACUGAACCAGAGGGACUGCACCUGUGCAAAUAACAAUAGUGCAGUAAAUCCACAUUGGGUAUCCUAUUUGGGCUGAGUUGUGCCCUGCAUGCAUACACAGUGUUCUAAACAAAUACUGUAACUGCUUUGCCUUCUGGUACCUUACGUAGAGUUCCCAGCACAGUGCCCUGAAGCUGUGGCUCGUGUGAGAUUUGGAAAGGCCUUUUGGGAACCCAAGGGAAUUGUGUGAGAAAGGACCCAUAAGUUCCUCAGAAAUUAUGCCAUUCUGCAACAUAUUCUCAAAAUGGAAGCCAAGCUGAAUUGUCAGUGUUCACUCUUCCUCAGAGUGGAGCACCACUUUUGGGUCAGGACCAUGACCACAGAGACGUGGAGCAGAGCAAUUUGAGAAAUUUGCAGAACUUCCAAAUGAGGAAACGAGACUCCUCUCCUCUGUGUUUGCUGACGACCAGGAAUGCAGUAGGGACAUUUUUUUCUGUGUAUUUUAACCCUCCACAUUAAAUGACCUCUUCAGACCAGGUUUUCAGCUUCUCUGUGUUUGCCACAUCAAACUAGCAAGUAUCUUAAUCAGAAAAGGUACCACUCGAUUAUUAUGGCCAUUCUUGGCUAGUUCUUGGCCAUUCUUGGCUGAGUAUUUACAUUGGGUGGCCAGGCAAAGUGCAUGAUACCAGAUUUUGGAAAGCUCUGAACUUUUCAGAAGUGGAAAAGAGGCGCACACUUCUCCCCUUCCCCCACACAUUACAGAGAUAUUAAUAGGUUCUCCAUCCCCACCUUGAUACUCUGUGCCCUUCCAUACCAAUGGCUCCCCAGCUAUACCUGAUAAACUGCUGUCUGUCUAGUUUUGUUUUAACUAUAGACUCAGCAGCUGGGGUAGUGGUCGAGUGUGCAUUUGGGAGGCUUAAAGCAAGUUGAAGGUGUCUGUUGACUUGCAGCCAGAGCACAAUCUACAACAUGGGUAUCGCAAAACCUGCUUGUUGUAUUCCACACAACAUUUGUGAAAAUAAGAGUGGAGUAUCUAACAGACAGUAAACUGAGGCAUUAGGCCUUGCUGCAAAUUAGGCUGCCACACAGGUAUUCAGAACCACCUGACAUUGUCAGAAGUGCCUGCACAAGAUGUGUGAACCUCAUCAUCAGGGGGGCUUUGUGCAUCUCUCUUGCUAGUGCAGGGUGUGUGAAGGGCUGAUGCAGCAGAGACUUGAAAACUGCUACAUUUACUGUUAUCAUUUGCUAUUAUUGUUAUCCUUGCUCCCUUUGGUGGUGGCGGGUUAAUUCCUGGAGGCACACUGCUUUGCUGGUCUCUUUAUCAUUUUACUUUUGUGAAGUUAUGUGAGUCUGAAUGAGGGAGAUUAUGAAAUACCGAAGCAGUGAUUGUCUGAAGGUUAAUAAAGGUAUGCUUAAUAAACGCUAAGGAAAGAGGUAAAUGCUGCAAACUAACUUUUUUUAACACAAAAACACGCAAGCUAGCUGCAAUAAGUAACCAAUGAAAACAAUAAAACAAAGACCUGCGUAUGCACGUACGCACACACACACACACACACACAAACACACAAAACAAGAUGAUGUAGGGGCUACAAAAAAAGGAAUAACUGAUCUCAGGCUAUUCCAAAUAACAGUUCAGCUGAGACUGAAUCUCCUCAUAGUACCAGAUAUUUACAAAUGCUCUGAUGUCUGCCUCAGGCUGGCUAUUAGCAACCUCUUGUGAUGAUGACUUCUCCUCAGAAAUGCUCCAAAAGCAACUUGGUAACAAAGCAAUAGGAAGGAAGUGGGUGCUGGUGACAAAGUCAUGCAAUGGGAUUUCAGAUGCGUGCGGUGAGAAGUUUACAGAAAUCUUGACUCCGGGUCAGUAGAGUACAGAAACCCAAGGCCACCUAAGCAGUGACUGGUCUACUGUAGUACUGGGGUGGAAGGAUUAAUUGCAUGGAUGGAGUUGUUACACCAGUACUUGCUUAUACCAGGACUGCACUAGUGCAGAAUGACCUGGUGCUUCUGAGCCUUGCUCAGAGAAAGUGCAAUCCAAAUUGUGGUGUGAUCAUUUGGGCAGAGAUGCUGAGUACUGGAGUUCCAUCUUUAAUGUUUUUUUGCAUCAGCUGGAAGAAACUAUGGUUUCUGCCUUCCCACUAUUAAAGAUUUUUUCCUGUUUUGGAUGGGGCUGAAAUAGAUACUGUGACAACCUUCCUCUCACCAAAAAGAUAUAGCAAAACUCUUUGGGAGGAGACUGAAUGUUUGAUCAUUUGCCAGCUGGAGAUACUCUGUCAUUACUGAUGGGGCUCCAAGAAAUAAUCUUGCAAACACAACAAUUAAUGGACAAAUUAUUUUUAUAGCACCGUUUUGCAAGACUUUGUUCCCUCACUCACUUAAGGCAAGUAUUUUAUUUUGAAUGGGGAUGGAGAAUACCAUUUGUGAUAUUGUCAGUCAUCAUAUUAACGUGCUGGCAAAUAAAAAUGGGUGUUUUUGUCUGGCAAAUUAUCAUGUCAGUUUUGUAACGUAAUAGAGCGGCAUUGGUGUGCAUGGAAAUUUACAGACAUAUAAGAAGAUACGGUUGCUGUUCCAAGAAACUUACAGUGUAACUUAGGCAUACAAUUUAGCUUCUUCUUUGUUUAACCCACAUUAGACAAAACUGCAAUGAUACCCCAGGCCACUAUCAAUUACCAUGUUUUACCCAGCAAUAUAUAUAAGCAAAUUAUCAUGUUAACAUAGCUCAGUUCCUGUAUCUACUAUCAUUACACUUCUAUGCUACUUUCACUGACUUUCUGAAGGAAGAAACAGAGAGAGGCUGCCCUCUUCUGUAUACAAAUGCACAAUUACUAAGAUAUUAAAAUGUUAGAUGCUAAACCACCUGCCUCUUUUAAUGCACCAGAGCAUUUCUUUAAGUAAAAAACUUUAUCAAAACUUAAACAGAGUUAAUUAUAAGCCAUAUAAACAAAGCAUUGCUAAAUGCUUUCCUGUGAGCUGUAAUCCAUUGUACACACGGCUGAUGACUUCUUCACUACAUGUCUUCAAUUUCAAGGCCCUUCACAACCUACCUGCACCCGACCUAUCAUCUCUCAUUCAGCAUCAGAAGGUUGAUUCCCACCUCCCAUCAGCCCAUGAUAUCAGUCUCUAUCACGCACUAUUUAAAUUUUCAAGCAGCUUUGUGCUUUCUCCCAUGCUGUCUCACACACUUGACAGACGCUCCCCAUAAACAUCCUCAAAACUAAUUCAUUAUCCUCCAUCAAAACUCUCCUUUGCCAUUAGGCCUACAAAAAACUUGACUACAGUUAGGGUGCUGGUGCACUGAGACCACUGCCUAUCAUGCUGACCAAUAUUGUCUCAUAGUCUCCUCGUACUCCCCCAUCAGUCUGUAUUGUUGUCUCUUGUCUUAUAUGUAGAUUGUAAACACUUUUUGUUUUGUUUUUGUACAAUGCCUUGCCCCAGUGGAGUCCUGGUCCCUAACUGGGGCUCCUAGGAGCUACAUUAAUACAAAUAAAUAGUAAUAAUCACAACAACAAUGGUGACUCACUUUCCUGACCCUCCCAUACUGCUCAAGGUACUCUGCUCAUCCCACUUGCCUGAUUCCCAACUACUGUGUCUGUCUGACUGUUCCUCACAGCUCAGGAGCCUUCCAGCUGCUGCUACCUACCUGAUACCCACCCUGCUGUUUGCAAUCCCUGCCUCCCAAUUGCCAUGAACCACUUGUCUUGCUCCCACUGUUCAGCAUCCCCUCUCAUUUGCCACGGCUUAGCCAAUCCUCUACCAAAGCUCAGGAGUCCCCAUUCCUACCUCGCCGCUACAACUAGCCACACGGUUCAUGCUGUCUCUAAGCCCUGGUCUACACUAGGACUUUAGGUCGAAUUUAGCAGCGUUAAAUCGAUGUAAACCUGCACUCGUCCACAAGAUGAAACCCUUUUUUUCGACUUAAAGGGCUCUUAAAAUCGAUUUCCUUACUCCACCCCUGACAAGUGGAUUAGUGCUUAAACCGGCCUUGCAGGGUCUAAUUUGGGGUACUGUGGACACAAUUCGACGGUAUUGGCCUCCAGGAGCUAUCCCAGAGUGCUCCAUUGUGACCGCUCUGGACAGCACUCUCAACUCAGAUGCACUGGCCAGGUAGACAGGAAAAGAACCGCGAACUUUUGAAUCUCAUUUCCUGUUUGGCCAGUGUGGCAAGCUGCAGGUGACCAUGCAGAGCUCAUCAGCAGAGGUGACCAUGAUGGUGUCCCAGAAUCGCAAAAGAGCUCCAGCAUGGACCAAACGGGAGGUACGGGAUCUGAUCGCUGUAUGGGGAGAGGAAUCCGUGCUAUCAGAACUCCGUUCCAGUUUUCGAAAUGCCAAAACCUUUGUCAAAAUCUCCCAGGCCAUGAAGGACAGAGGCCAUAACAGGGACCCGAAGCAGUGCCGCGUGAAACUUAAGGAGCUGAGGCAAGCCUACCAGAAAACCAGAGAGGCGAACAGUCGCUCCGGGUCAGAGCCCCAAACAUGCCGCUUCUAUGAUGAGCUGCAUGCCAUUUUAGGGGGUUCAGCCACCACUACCCCAGCCGUGUUGUUUGACUCCUUCAAUGGAGAUGGAGGCAAUACGGAAGCAGGUUUUGGGGAUGAAGAAGAUGAUGAUGAUGAUGAGGUUGUAGAUAGCUCACAGCAAGUAAGCGGAGAAACCGGUUUUCCCGACAGCCAGGAACUGUUUCUCACCCUGGACCUGGAGCCAGUACCCCCCGAACCCACCCAAGGCUGCCUCCUGGACCCAGCAGGUGGAGAAGGGACGUCCG